AUAAGAGUAUUGAGAUCUCCUAA
rnacentral:snRNA from 1 species